UCCAUUUACCAUUGUACUUAUCAUAGGAAUGUAAUUAUUUAGUAAAGUAGACAAAAAGGGAAAGAGACGUAAAAUCAAACACAGCACGUUAUCAUCAUACUUUAUUUAAAAAUAGUGUAAAGCUAUUUAUGAGCAAAUAUGUACGAAACUCGAUUACAAUAGGAACAAUCACAGCUAUAAACUACCCCCGUAAUAUUAACAAAAUCGCCGCACAGCGGACCUACAAUAAGAAAGAAGGUUAGUUGCGUUAUGGAGUCUAAAGAUUAUGAAAUUAAAUUUUAUUCCAUUACGAAAUUAACUACGACUUUUUUGGCAUGAAGUCUAACGGAGAGAAGACGAAACCGCUGAUUGAUAUUAUGAUGAGGAGCACGCCCCACGCCGUCUGCGUUACCGAAUCUGGUACAGGCCGUGAUCAAGACAAGACAAAGAGUAAUACUCGUCAAGGAUUCAGGUCAAGUUUAUUUUAUUACCCAUUCCUUACAAUUUUUCUCUGAAC